rnacentral:misc_RNA from 1 species
AAAUCGUAACAAAGUUUCCGUAGGUGAACCUGCGGAAGGAUCAUUACCGAAUCGGCACUCUGUGUCGAACACCGAUCGAGCGAGCGCAGCUUGGUUCACGUCGUGCGAAGGAGCACCCUUCCAGGCGCUCCAGCGCCGUUCCCCGCUUCGGCGGGAACUCGUCCACUUGUGGUGAAAGAACGGACCCGGUGCUUGCACCAACAACCUGUACCUGAAAAGGAACUCAAAUGCAGUACAACUGCAAACGGUUGAUCACUCGGCUC